AUUGAACGCUUGCGGCAGGCCUAACACAUGCAAGUCGAACGCGCGGCGCACGUGUGAGUCAUGUCUGUGAAACUGCCUGAUGGAGGGGGAUAACUCCUGGAAACGGUAGCUAAUACCGAAUACCCUCUGAUGUGCCCAGAGGGGAUUAGCUAGUCGGUGGGGUAAAGGCCCACCUAGGCGAAGUUCCCUAGCUGGUCUGAGAGGAUGACCAGCCACGCUGGACCUGAGACACGAUCCAGACUCCUACGGGAGGCAGCAGUGGGGAAUAUUGCACAAUGGGCACAAGCCUGAUGCAGCCAUGCCGCGUGUAUGAAGAAGGCCUUCGGGUUGUAAAGUACUUUCAGCGGGGAGGCGUUACCCGCAGAAGAAGCACCAGCUAACUCCGUGCCAGCAGCCGCGGUAAUUC
rnacentral:rRNA from 1 species